ensembl:snRNA U6 U6 spliceosomal RNA
CUGUUCACUAUGGCAGCAUGUAUCCUAACACUGGGAUGAUACAGAGGAUUAGCAUGGACAUUGUGCAAUGAUGACAUGCAAAUUUAUGAAGCAAUCCACAUUGAA